rnacentral:tRNA from 1 species
CAGGGGUUAGUUUAUUAAAAUAUCGGUUUUGGGGAUCGAGGAUAGAAAGUUUUCUACCCCUGA